rnacentral:lncRNA from 1 species
CAUGCGAAGUAGAGGGUCUACAUAUUCAAACCUCCAUGAAGGUUUAAUUUAGAUUAUUUGAGAUUUGAUCUCUGGUUUUAUAGCUAAUUAGGUAAGGAUUUGAUCCUUAUUUAUGCAGAUUAAUAGAAAAAUUUUUAGAUAAAACUUGGGCUAUCCGAUGAGAAACAGUUUUCCUUCUCUUCAAUUGGUAUCAGAGCAGAUUUAAAAUAUAUAUAUGUAUAACUAAUUUUUUUUGAAUUAAUUAUAUGAGAUAUAAUUAAAAUUUUUUGUUAGAU